GGUGAGUAACACGUGGGUAACCUGCCUGUAAGACUGGGAUAACUCCGGGAAACCGGGGCUAAUACCGGAUGGUUGUUUGAACCGCAUGGUUCAGACAUAAAAGGUGGCUUCGGCUACCACUUACAGAUGGACCCGCGGCGCAUUAGCUAGUUGGUGAGGUAACGGCUCACCAAGGCGACGAUGCGUAGCCGACCUGAGAGGGUGAUCGGCCACACUGGGACUGAGACACGGCCCAGACUCCUACGGGAGGCAGCAGUAGGGAAUCUUCCGCAAUGGACGAAAGUCUGACGGAGCAACGCCGCGUGAGUGAUGAAGGUUUUCGGAUCGUAAAGCUCUGUUGUUAGGGAAGAACAAGUGCCGUUCAAAUAGGGCGGCACCUUGACGGUACCUAACCAGAAAGCCACGGCUAACUACGUGCCAGCAGCCGCGGUAAUACGUAGGUGGCAAGCGUUGUCCGGAAUUAUUGGGCGUAAAGGGCUCGCAGGCGGUUUCUUAAGUCUGAUGUGAAAGCCCCCGGCUCAACCGGGGAGGGUCAUUGGAAACUGGGGAACUUGAGUGCAGAAGAGGAGAGUGGAAUUCCACGUGUAGCGGUGAAAUGCGUAGAGAUGUGGAGGAACACCAGUGGCGAAGGCGACUCUCUGGUCUGUAACUGACGCUGAGGAGCGAAAGCGUGGGGAGCGAACAGGAUUAGAUACCCUGGUAGUCCACGCCGUAAACGAUGAGUGCUAAGUGUUAGGGGGUUUCCGCCCCUUAGUGCUGCAGCUAACGCAUUAAGCACUCCGCCUGGGGAGUACGGUCGCAAGACUGAAACUCAAAGGAAUUGACGGGGGCCCGCACAAGCGGUGGAGCAUGUGGUUUAAUUCGAAGCAACGCGAAGAACCUUACCAGGUCUUGACAUCCUCUGACAAUCCUAGAGAUAGGACGUCCCCUUCGGGGGCAGAGUGACAGGUGGUGCAUGGUUGUCGUCAGCUCGUGUCGUGAGAUGUUGGGUUAAGUCCCGCAACGAGGCGCAACCCUUGAUCUUAGUUGCCAGCAUUCAGUUGGGCACUCUAAGGUGACUGCCGGUGACAAACCGGAGGAAGGUGGGGAUGACGUCAAAUCAUCAUGCCCCUUAUGACCUGGGCUACACACGUGCUACAAUGGACAGAACAAAGGGCAGCGAAACCGCGAGGUUAAGCCAAUCCCACAAAUCUGUUCUCAGUUCGGAUCGCAGUCUGCAACUCGACU
rnacentral:rRNA from 1 species